rnacentral:rRNA from 1 species
AUUGAACGCUGGCGGCAGGCCUAACACAUGCAAGUCGAACGAGUGGCGGACGGGUGAGUAAUGUCUGGGAAACUGCCGGAUGGAGGGGGAUAACUACGGGAAACGGUAGCUAAUACCGCAUACCAUCGGAUGUGCCCAGAUGGGAUUAGCGAGUAGGUGGGGUAACGGCUCACCUAGGCGACGAUCCCUAGCUGGUGUGAGAGGAUGACCCGCCACACUGGAACGUAGACACGGUCCAGACUCCUACGGGAGGCAGCAGUGGGGAAUAUUGCACCAUGGGCGCAAGCCUGAUGCAGCCAUGCCGCGUGUAUGAAGAAGGCCUUCGGGUUGUAAAGUACUUUCAGCGGGGAGGCGUUACCCGCAGAAGAAGCACCGGCUAACUCCGUGCCAGCAGCCGCGGUAAUAC